CGUCGAAGGUGGGACAAAUGAUUGGGGUGAAGUCGUAACAAGGUAGCCGUAUCGGAAGGUGCGGCUGGAUCACCUCCUUUCUAAGGA
rnacentral:rRNA from 2 species